UACGUAGGGGGCGAGCGUUGUCCGGAAUUAUUGGGCGUAAAGCGCGCGCAGGCGGUUUCUUAAGUCUGAUGUGAAAGCCCGUGGCUCAACCACGGAGGGUCAUUGGAAACUGGGAAGCUUGAAUGCAGAAGAGGAAAGUGGAAUUCCAUGUGUAGCGGUGAAAUGCGUAGAGGUAUGGAGGAACACCAGUGGCGAAGGCGACUUUCUGGUCUGUAACUGACACUGAGGCGCGAAAGCGUGGGGAGCAAACAGG
rnacentral:rRNA from 1 species